GUGGGGAAUAUUGCACAAUGGGGGAAACCCUGAUGCAGCAACGCCGCGUGAAGGAAGAAGGCCUUCGGGUUGUAAACUUCUUUGACAGGGGACGAAGGAAGUGACGGUACCCUGAUAACAAGCCACGGCUAACUACGUGCCAGCAGCCGCGGUAAUACGUAGGUGGCAAGCGUUGUCCGGAUUUACUGGGUGUAAAGGGCGCGUAGGCGGGUUUGCAAGUCAGAUGUGAAAUACCGGGGCUCAACUCCGGAACUGCAUCUGAAACUGUGAAUCUUGAGUACUGGAGAGGAAAGUGGAAUUCCUAGUGUAGCGGUGAAAUGCGUAGAUAUUAGGAGGAACACCGGUGGCGAAGGCGGCUUUCUGGACAGAAACUGACGCUGAGGCGCGAAAGCGUGGGGAGCAAACAGGA
rnacentral:rRNA from 1 species